rnacentral:rRNA from 1 species
GACGAACGCUGGCGGCGUGCUUAACACAUGCAAGUCGAACGGAAAGGCUCCAGCUUGCUGGAGUACUCGAGUGGCGAACGGGUGAGUAACACGUGGGUAAUCUGCCCUGCACUCUGGGAUAAGCCUGGGAAACUGGUCUAAUACUGGAUAUGACCUUUCUCCUUAUGGGGUUUGGUGGAAAGUUUUUCGGUGUAGGAUGAGCCCGCGGCCUAUCAGCUUGUUGGUGGGGUGAUGGCCUACCAAGGCGACGACGGGUAGCCGGCCUGAGAGGGUGAUCGGCCACAUUGGGACUGAGAUACGGCCCAGACUCCUACGGGAGGCAGCAGUGGGGAAUAUUGCACAAUGGGCGGAAGCCUGAUGCAGCGACGCCGCGUGAGGGAUGACGGCCUUCGGGUUGUAAACCUCUUUCAGCAGGGACGAAGCGUAAGUGACGGUACCUGCAGAAGAAGCACCGGCUAACUACGUGCCAGCAGCCGCAGUAA